AUUGAACGCUGGCGGCAGGCUUAACACAUGCAAGUCGAGCGAGCGGCGGACGGGUGAGUAAUGUCUGGGAAACUGCCUGAUGGAGGGGGAUAACUACUGGAAACGGUAGCUAAUACCGCAUUCCAUCAGUUGUGCCAAGAUGGGAUUAGCUAGUAGGUGGGGUAAUGGCUCACCUAGGCGACGAUCCCUAGCUGGUCUGAGAGGAUGACCAGCCGCACUGGAACUGGGACACGGUCCAGACUCCACCGGGAGGCAGCGGUGGGGGAUAUUGCACAAAGGGCGCAAGCCUGAUGCAGCCAUGCCGGGUGUGUGGAGAAGGCCUUCGGGUUGUACAGCACUUUCAGCGAGGAGGCGUUACUCGCAGAAGAAGCACCGGCUAACUCCGUGCCAGCAGCCGCGGUAAUUC
rnacentral:rRNA from 1 species